rnacentral:rRNA from 1 species
UCUAAGCGGGAAGCCCACCUCAAGAUUAGAUUUCCCUAGGGGUUUAACCCCUCUGAAGGUCCGUCGAAGACUACGACGUUGAUAGGUUGGGUGUGUAAGUGCAGUAAUGCAUUGAGCUUACCAAUACUAAUUGACCGUGAGGCUUGACCAUAUAAUAG